rnacentral:rRNA from 1 species
UACGGAGGGGGCUAGCGUUGUUCGGAAUUACUGGGCGUAAAGCGCGUGUAGGCGGCCAGAAAAGUCCGCUGUGAAAACUCGAGGCUCAACUUCGAGCUGUCGGUGGAAACUUUCUGGCUAGAGUCCGGAAGAGGAGAAUGGAAUUCCUGGUGUAGCGGUGAAAAUGCGCAGAUAUCAGGAAGAACACCCGUGGCGAAGGCGGUUCUCUGGGACGGUACUGACGCUGAGGUGCGAAAGCGUGGGGAGCAAACAGG